UAGUGUACCAGUUAACACCCUGGGUUUUGAAUCCAGUAACGCGAGUUUGAAUCUCGAC
rnacentral:tRNA from 1 species